AGACCCGAAACCCGGUGAUCUAGCCAUGGGCAGGUUGAAGGUUGGGUAACACUAACUGGAGGACCGAACCGACUAAUGUUGAAAAAUUAGCGGAUGACCUGUGGCUGGGGGUGAAAGGCCAAUCAAACCGGGAGAUAGCUGGUUCUCCCCGAAAGCUAUUUAGGUAGCGCCUCGUGAAUUCAUCUCCGGGGGUAGAGCACUGUUUCGGCUAGGGGGCCAUCCCGGCUUACCAACCCGAUGCAAACUGCGAAUACCGGAGAAUGUUAUCACGGGAGACACACGGCGGGUGCUAACGUCCGUCGUGAAGAGGGAAACAACCCAGACCGCCAGCUAAGGUCCCAAAGUCAUGGUUAAGUGGGAAACGAUGUGGGAAGGCCCAGACAGCCAGGAUGUUGGCUUAGAAGCAGCCAUCAUUUAAAGAAAGCGUAAUAGCUCACUGGUCGAGUCGGCCUGCGCGGAAGAUGUAACGGGGCUAAACCAUGCACCGAAGCUGCGGCAGCGAACGUAUCACCCAAGACAACUUUACGGAGUUGACGAUUGACGGAGCGAAGCGACGUCAAAGCGUUCAUUAAAGUCGAGUUGGCUUAGGGAUACGUUCGUUGGGUAGGGGAGCGUUCUGUAAGCCUGUGAAGGUGUGUCGUGAGGCAUGCUGGAGGUAUCAGAAGUGCGAAUGCUGACAUAAGUAACGAUAAAGCGGGUGAAAAGCCCGCUCGCCGGAAGACCAAGGGUUCCUGUCCAACGUUAAUCGGGGCAGGGUGAGUCGACCCCUAAGGCGAGGCCGAAAGGCGUAGUCGAUGGGAAACGGGUUAAUAUUCCCGUACUUGGUGUUACUGCGAAGGGGGGACGGAGAAGGCUAUGUUGGCCGGGCGACGGUUGUCCCGGUUUAAGCGUGUAGGUGUGUGUUCCAGGUAAAUCCGGUUCACUUUAACACUGAGGCGUGACGACGAGGCACUACGGUGCUGAAGCAACAAAUGCCCUGCUUCCAGGAAAAGCCUCUAAGCAUCAGGUAACAUCAAAUCGUACCCCAAACCGACACAGGUGGUCAGGUAGAGAAUACCAAGGCGCUUGAGAGAACUCGGGUGAAGGAACUAGGCAAAAUGGUGCCGUAACUUCGGGAGAAGGCACGCUGACACGUAGGUGAAGUGAUUUACUCAUGGAGCUGAAGUCAGUCGAAGAUACCAGCUGGCUGCAACUGUUUAUUAAAAACACAGCACUGUGCAAACACGAAAGUGGACGUAUACGGUGUGACGCCUGCCCGGUGCCGGAAGGUUAAUUGAUGGGGUCAGCGUAAGCGAAGCUCCUGAUCGAAGCCCCGGUAAACGGCGGCCGUAACUAUAACGGUCCUAAGGUAGCGAAAUUCCUUGUCGGGUAAGUUCCGACCUGCACGAAUGGCGUAAUGAUGGCCAGGCUGUCUCCACCCGAGACUCAGUGAAAUUGAACUCGCUGUGAAGAUGCAGUGUACCCGCGGCAAGACGGAAAGACCCCGUGAACCUUUACUAUAGCUUGACACUGAACAUUGAGCCUUGAUGUGUAGGAUAGGUGGGAGGCUUUGAAGUGUGGACGCCAGUCUGCAUGGAGCCGACCUUGAAAUACCACCCUUUAAUGUUUGAUGUUCUAACGUGGACCCGUAAUCCGGGUUGCGGACAGUGUCUGGUGGGUAGUUUGACUGGGGCGGUCUCCUCCUAAAGAGUAACGGAGGAGCACGAAGGUUGGCUAAUCCUGGUCGGACAUCAGGAGGUUAGUGCAAUGGCAUAAGCCAGCUUGACUGCGAGCGUGACGGCGCGAGCAGGUGCGAAAGCAGGUCAUAGUGAUCCGGUGGUUCUGAAUGGAAGGGCCAUCGCUCAACGGAUAAAAGGUACUCCGGGGAUAACAGGCUGAUACCGCCCAAGAGUUCAUAUCGACGGCGGUGUUUGGCACCUCGAUGUCGGCUCAUCACAUCCUGGGGCUGAAGUAGGUCCCAAGGGUAUGGCUGUUCGCCAUUUAAAGUGGUACGCGAGCUGGGUUUAGAACGUCGUGAGACAGUUCGGUCCCUAUCUGCCGUGGGCGCUGGAGAACUGAGGGGGGCUGCUCCUAGUACGAGAGGACCGGAGUGGACGCAUCACUGGUGUUCGGGUUGUCAUGCCAAUGGCACUGCCCGGUAGCUAAAUGCGGAAGAGAUAAGUGCUGAAAGCAUCUAAGCACGAAACUUGCCCCGAGAUGAGUUCUCCCUGAGACUUAGAGUCUCCUGAAGGAACGUUGAAGACGACGACGUUGAUAGGCCGGGUGUGUAAGCGCAGCGAUGCGUUGAGCUAACCGGUACUAAUGAACCGUGAGGCUUAACCUUACA
rnacentral:rRNA from 1 species